rnacentral:rRNA from 1 species
AUUGAACGCUGGCGGCAUGCUUUACACAUGCAAGUCGAACGGUAACAGGCCGCAAGGUGCUGACGAGUGGCGAACGGGUGAGUAAUGCAUCGGAACGGGCCCAGUCGUGGGGGAUAACGCAGCGAAAGCUGCGCUAAUACCGCAUACGAUCUAUGGAGGAAAGCGGGGGAACUGUAAGGGCCUCGCGCGAUUGGAGCGGCCGAUGUCAGAUUAGGUAGUUGGUGGGGUAAAGGCUCACCAAGCCGACGAUCUUUAGCUGGUCUGAGAGGACGACCAGCCACACUGGGACUGCGACACGGCCCAGACUCCUACGGGAGGCAGCAGUGGGGAAUUUUGGACAAUGGGCGCAAGCCUGAUCCAGCAAUGCCGCGUGCAGGAAGAAGGCCUUCGGGUUGUAAACUGCUUUUGUACGGAACGAAACGGCUCUGGUUAAUACCUGGGGCUAAUGACGGUACCGUAAGAAUAAGCACCGGCUAACUACGUGCCAGCAGCCGCCGCCGUAA